AGAGUAGAGGGGUGCUCGAAAGAGAGCCGUACACAGGUGCUGCAUGGCUGUCGUCAGCUCGUGUCGUGGAGAUGUUGGGUUAAGUCCCGCAACGAGCGCAACCCUUGUCAUUAGUUGCUACAUUCAGUUGGGCACUCUAAUGAGACUGCCGUGACAAGCCGGAGGAAGGUGGGGAUGACGUCAAGUCCUCAUGGCCCUUAUAGGUGGGGCUACACACGUCAUACAAUGGCUGGUACAAAGGGUUGCCAACCCGCGAGGGGGAGCCAAUCCCAUAAAGCCAGUCGUAGUCCGGAUCGUAGUCUGCAACUCGACUACGUGAAGUCGGAAUCGCUAGUAAUCGUGGAUCAGAAUGUCACGGUGAAUACGUUCCCGGGUCUU
rnacentral:rRNA from 1 species